GAUGAACGCUAGCGGCAGGCCUAAUACAUGCAAGUUGAACGGGCAUUAGUCUUCGGAUUAGUGCUAGUGGCGAACGGGUGCGUAACACGUAGGUAACCUGCCUUCGAGAAGGGGAUAACAUGCCGAAAGGCGUGCUAAUACCAUAUAAUGUCUCCGAAACUACGGUUUGGCGAUCAACGGAUGGCCUCUAUUUAUAAGCUAUCGCUCGAAGAUGGGCCUGCGCACCAUUAGCUAGUUGGCGGGGUAACGGCCCACCAAGGCAUCGAUCAGUAGCCGGCCUGAGAGGGUGAUCGGCCACACUGGAACUGAGACACGGUCCAGACUCCUACGGGAGGCAGCAGUGGGGAAUUUUGCGCAAUGGGCGAGAGCCUGACGCAGCAACGCCGCGUGGGUGAUGAAGGUCUUCGGAUCGUAAAACCCUGUCGUCAGGGACGAAGGUUGCGAGUUUAAGAGAUGCGCAACUUGACGGUACCUGGAGAGGAAG
rnacentral:rRNA from 1 species